CCACAUCAGAAAACUGGGAACCCUUUGUGCACAUAACGCUUGACACGAAGAAGGACCUCGGAGCCAAGUGGGAACCAACACUGUUUAAAGGCAGGAAGCAAAAUCCUACAGUGUCCAAAUGAAAUGUGUGCUGCGAAAGGCGUAAUCUGUGUGUGUUCUCUGCGGCUCACUCCCAGGUCUGGCAGUGAGGUGUGCGGGCUCAUCUGUGGCCAAGUGCCCAGGAAAGAGAGGCAGCCCAGUAGAUCGUGCUUCCCGUGAGGGAGACUCGCUGCUGCCAAUGACAGACUCAAAACAUCGUGACCCGGCCACAGGAUCAUGGAGCUCUUCGCUCAUCGCUGUGGGUGCCGGGACGUUGCAUGUUUUUUCCCUUGCAGAGGCCAUCGCUGUGGGCGCCAGGACAUCUGUCCUUUGUGGGCAUGUUGAGGCUUCUCUGUGAAGGACCCACAUGGAGUCAGGCUGCUUGUGGCAAGAGGCCCUGGCUUAAUCUUCACAGGUGGAAGAGACCUGAGGGCUCAUCUCACCUAACCCCAAAUUUUCUAGACAACGUUCUGCUUGAGUUUCAGGAGGUGGAUCUGGAGCCAGCAGCCCUCCUGUGAGAACACUGGCCUGAGCCCCUCAAGCCGCCCCUCGUCUCUGAAUGGGGGUCAUUUUGGCCCUUGGUGGGCAGCUUCUUGGGAGAUGGUUUGGAAAUGGAG
rnacentral:lncRNA from 10 species